UGCCAGCAUAAAAUCAUGAGUGUAUUCAGCUAUUUCAAAAAGACCUUGCCAAGAUCAACUGUUUAAUGCAUGCUUUGUGUAUCUGGGGUGAAGAAGACACAAUAGAAUGGCAAAUCUUACCCAGAAACAGCAUUGCAUUUCUGGAUUUCCAACCUAUCUUAGCCUCAAGCAAGGGAGAAGUUUGUACAGCAGUUAAGAUGAUUAACCAUGACUGACGCCACAAGUAUCCUAGGCUGGAAGAACUGCUAAAUCUCCAAAUUUUGCCCAGUCAUGUCACUGAAAGUGAUUCCAUACACCUGAAGAAGAUUGCUACACCCAAAUGUUUAUUUUUCUGGUGAUACUGGCUGACCUACUUUUGCCUACCAGGGGAAGUACAAACUGUUCCUAUCCAAAUGUCCUGAGAUCAUCCCAGAUGAGCUCUCAGACCUGUUUGAAGUUAUAUUCUGGGUCCAGCCUGACAGAAAGCUGAGAUCAACACCUUGCACUCCCUUUUCCAGCAGCCUUUGCGUGCCUGGCUGCAGCUCUGAAUUAAAACAAUCUCUCCCAAAAAGUAACCCAAGGAUUUGACUUUGUCAGGAAAGAAGAUGUGAUAAGAAUGGCUGUCUUCCAGGGCACAUAAGGGAGAGCUUCUGGUCCUGCUGCAAGGCACAUCUCCUGCUGGGAAGUCCUGUGGGAGGAAGGAGUGUAAUUUUGUGGGAGCAGCAUUAAGGAUGAACUCAGCAUUCACUACUGGAUGUGAAAUAGCCCCUUGAAGCUGAAUCCAGCUCUUCUCAAUCUCUAAAAGAAAGAACUGUAGAUUUGCUAAGGAAAACUAAGCCUGUGGUCUCAGGGGAUAUGAGAUACACUUUUAUUGUUAAUUUGUAUAUUUGCCUUGCUGCAAAUGUCAUCUAAAGCUGUGUAGGAGGAACGUAUCGGGAGGUGGUUUUUUCAAAUUUGUUUUAUUUGGUGUAGACACACUCUGAAAUAAACCUGAAGCCUGGGAGGGUUAGGAGGCAUGGAGGCUGUGCUUGAACCUUAACCCCAUGAGUGUUCUUCUCCUCCCCAUGGGCUCUGGCUGCACAGCCCACACAGGGCUCCCCAAAUUAUCCCAAAGUGAUAGGGAUCGAUGUGGCUUGUAACUUCUUCCUUAACUUCCUCACUAUUGAUGUUUUCUAACAAGAAAUCCAAACUGUGACAGGGGAAAUGAGUGAAGAAAGACCUUUCGAAAGAGGAGCAAAAUGGGAGCUGAUUCAAGCGUCUGUAAUUAGCUAAUGGCUGUGAAUAUUUAUGAAAUCUCCCAGCAGUGGCAGUGAAGUGCUGAUCCUAGAGAAGUGGACGCCCUCUUCCUUGAUGUCUUUAAUCCUUGCAGUCCCAGCUGCCAUGGCUCGACUCUUGGAAAACCCCACCCUCUUUUUGGCCUCUGAUCAAAAUCAAUAUUUCAGAGGGAAAUCACAACGGCAAAGGAGUUAAACAAAAGUUCAGAUAAGCAUAACAAAUACUGGAAAGAUGAGAUCCUCCAAGCAGAGUGCUCUAGAAAGCACUCCCGUUAAUCUGGGCAAGGCUCUCAUCAAUUGCUCUGUGCAGGAAGAGCUAUUCUUGGACUCAUAAGGAGAGCCCCAAUUUGGAUUUCUUGUGAAGCUGACUGUUGUUCAUGUCUGGACCAUGGCUGAUUGUUGCUAAUUUUGAUGCGGAGUUUGACUUUCCCUGCAGAGCGAAGGGUUUGAUGCUUUUCUUCAAAGGCAGUGCAGAUGCUUUAUUGUGUGUCAGAGAUCCAAGGAAGCUUAAAUAGAUAAAUUUAAAAAUGAGGUCCAGGACUUAGAGAGACUGGUUGAUUCUUAGUAGGUAAAGCCAAGUUAGAACAUGGCCACUGCCAAAGUGACUGUGGGACCAAACUGGAUUGGGAUCCUACAACUUGUGCCCAUUCCCUCACACCUUUUUACUGAAUAGUGCCCGGGCUGGCACUCAUUUAGGCUUCCAUUGAUGCUACUGCUAUAGAACAGAAAAACCAUCAUACACUUCAUUUUAAGGUUUCUGAAUCAGGAAGAUAUAAUCAUUAAGGCAAUGAUUUAUACAAAACUGCUAAUUAAUGAGCCAGGGGAGAGCACAACUUCUUUCCUAAAGAACAACAGUUCAUGUCAGAAAGGAGUAGAGUGUCACUGCUGUGAGAUGACUGUUUUUAAAUGUGGUUGUUUUACUGCCAUUCAGAGUCAUAGGAUGGUUUGGGUUGGAGGGGACCCUAAAGAUCACCCAGUCCCAACUCCCUGUCAUGGACAUGGACACCUUCCACUAGAGCAGGUAGAAGUGGGGGUAAAAAAAAGAACCCCUGUGGGAAGGCAGGUGUGUGGUACAGUGUGACAGGCAAGGUGGUGCUGAGCAGUCCUGAAAGUACAGGAAGUCACAGGAAUGGGAAGAUCCAAGGGGGAAAGGGUGGGAAAAAUACUCACUUUAAGCAGAUGAAGAAGUUGCAGCAGAUUUCCCUUCACCUGAGUAAUUCCAUGCCAAGGGUGCUUCCCCAGCAGUGCACCCCUGAGUCUGCUACAGAAACAUAACUACACAUUCUUCCCCAAAAUUUUCCCCAAAAUUGCAAUGGUCCAGAAUAAAAAAUUGCAGCUAUUAUAAAAUUAAUAUUACUCUGUAUCACAUCUGCAUCUCUUAAAUGCAUGCCACUCAAAAUUCUUGCUGGUUUUGUCAGUCACGUGCUCAGAAAUGCUUUCAAUAUACUAAGAAGAAUCUUAAAAACUCUAAAUCAGGUGUUUAAAUCUUCACAACCAUGCUAGCUUGAAAGAAAUUCAACCUCCCAGGCAGAGAGCCAGGUUUUGCUAUUGCGAAAAAUGGUUCUCCUGCAUGUGCUAAGGGAUUAGAUGUUCCUGAUGUUCUAGACAAAGGCACUGUAGGUUUUCCAAUGGUGAUAAAAUGCAAAUUUCACCCAUAAGUCUUUCUGUUGUCAGGGAGGAGAACAAUCUACCCAUGUGUGUGUAUGUGUGUGCUUAAAAAUUUUAAAAAUUAAAAUCUGCUGGGAAAGGGAGUGUAAAAGGGUAUGACUUCUCCAGAAUUAUCUUUUUUUUUGGAGACAAAUAUACUGAAUUGCAAUAAAAAUAUAGCUAAUCUAUAAGUAACUUAAUCAUUAAUCUUUAAGUAACUUAAACUGUAGUGUUUAAUAUUAAUAUGGACAUGUAGCCUGUGGCUUAUCAAAGUAUAGGGACCAUAUUGACAAGUGAAAUAUUGGAUCAAGAAAUAAAUUUUGCAGGAUCAGAAACAGUCACAACACAAACAAAAUAAAGAAAGUCCAAUAACAGGAAAGGCAGAGCAUCUGUAGUAGUUAUGACUGAUUUUCCAUUGCCCUACAUCCUUGGUAGCAAUUAGGUGUGGCUAUAAAAUGUUGUUAAAAGACUAAAUUGAAUAUCUGGUUUGCAGUGACUUGGCUGAACAUUUGAGCUGCUCAUGGUGGAUUAAACUGUGCAGUCACAGAGGGAUAAAUUUGCAAUUUGCAACCAUGAGCAUUCAUAUUUUAGUGAAUCAACACGAGAAAACUGACUUUUAUUACUGAAAUUCCAAAUGUAUCCUAGCCCUAGGACACAUGAUGUCCAGAAUGCCCUUCCUUACAGUCUGCACCUGAACUGUCUUUCACAGGACAGGAUGCUGGUUUGGCAGCAUUCACCAUUGCUGACAAGUGCUCUUUGAAAACCUGGGCACAAUAGUCUGAAAGGUGAUGCACAGACCAAGUUAAUCCCCUUCAGCAGAAUUGGUUCUCUGCCCUCACCUGUGGUUUUAUCAAAAACUAACCAGGGGGUUUAAAACAUAUUUUGAACUUGUGUCAGAGAAAUGAGAUGAGUUCAAGAGCUCCUGGAGCGCUCUGCCCAUCUGCCUACAACAGGAGAGAAGCUCCACAUGGCAAAUCCCACCUGCAUAUGGAUGUUGAGCCUCUAUUUCCCUUUUCAAGGUGAUGUCCACCUGCUUCAGAUGGAGAUUUAGACAGCUUUUAGCCAGAGGGACCCUGCCAUGGUGCUGGCUGGAGGGAAAUCCAAAACAGAAGUGUUUAAUCAUGGAUAGAUUCUUCACUUUACGCAAAAUGUGUUGUGACACAUUAUCUCUUCACCAUGUAGCAAAGUGUACUUUGCAGCGAUUGAAGAAAUUCAGUUAAAUCCAGCCUGUACUUGUGUUCGGGCUCGUUAUUUAUAGCAAGUGUGGGAGUGUGUUGGCCCCUUCUGACAGCAUAUCAUGGCCAUCUUAAAUCCUGAAAGCACUUUUUCUGUUGUUGUUGCCACGGUAAAUCUUUAAGAAGUUUAAUCUUAAAUUUAUGAGUGAUUUGGAGACCAGUCUGUUCAUGACACAUUAACAAAAUUAGACCAGGAAAUGUUUUGCUGAACAAACUCUGGUGCUUUUAUAAGGAGUGAGGUUGUUGGGAGUGUGCUCCCUGCUGUGUGUGCUGCCAAGGCAUGGCCUCCACGGCCCACAGGGAUGAGUGUGGAUGUGUUUGCCCCAUGGUAUUUCAAGAAAAAACAUUUACUGAACCAGCCUGAGAGAUUUAGAAAAUCAAAUCUCAAGGUGUUAGAGAGGACACUUAGCAUGGUAUGGAGUUUCAACAGUGAGCAAAAGAGUUAAUUUUGCUUCAAGAAGACAUAGAAAUAAUUUUUUUUUCUUGCUAAUUAAAUAUGAAACACACUAACUGUAUGCAAGUGUAAUUUUCUUAUCUUAUUAGCCAUGUUCAUUUCUGAAGUGAAUAACUACCAGCACUGGUGCAGUAUAUGGGCAGAAUAAUAGUCAAACUGAUUUUUACUUUAAUCUCUGAAUACAAUUAGCAUAAUUUAAACUGUUAUAAGAUACAGCAGAUAGAAAUCACAUUAUAGAGACUGUAGGUGGAGAGGUGGGUGGUCACAUGCAGAGGGAAAACUGGAAGAGCACUUAAAAUACAGCCGAAUAAUAAGUAUUCAGGAGAAUGUAAAGCUACAUGGAGUUGAAAGGCACAUUAUUUCAAGAGAUGGGGGAAGAAAAGUGGGAAAUCAUGAGCAAGGUUCAAGGACUUCUGUUACUGCAGGGCCUGAUCUCAAGAAAUGCUGUCGUAAGAGAUGUAGCUCAUACAACUGUUUUAUGGGGCAUGAAUCCUAAAUUCAACUUUCUUCAGAGGAGAGAACAGCCCAGUGGAGACAGACAGAUCACGUCUUGCCUGACCAGAUGGAAAGAGAAGCACUCAAGAUAUGAUGGGGGAAGGAAAGAGGCAGUUCAGAUGGGGAACCAGAGAGAUGGACCAUGGGUGUAAAGUGUGUGUUUGAGUGAGUUGUGCAGGAGAGCAGGGAUAGAAGAAGGAAAAAUAAGAGAGAAAGAAUGGGCUGAAUGAGGAGACUGGUCUGGAAAUCCUGAAUUGUAGGCUGGGGCUGACUGAACAGUCAGCACCCAUGAGUGUGGGAAGAAAGUGACAUGAACAAGGAGAGGAGAGAGGGACAAGCUGGUGAAGAUAAACCCAGGCUUGAGGGGAGUGGAAAGAAGGUGCUGCCUGACAACAGAAGGUGCUUCCUGAAGCCUGGGAUGCUCACAUCAUCCUACUCCUCUGCUGUCAGCAAAUAUCCAUACAGCCUCUGAGAAGCCAUUAUAAAUCACCUGCCACUGCAGCUGCUCCAUGGAAAAGAAAGGAUUACAGCUGAAAACUCGGGAAACAUUCUGAACUCAUUUUCCUUUCAAAUGCUUGCUUGCCCUCUCCAUUUACAUCCUGCACUAGUUUCUGCCAUGUUUUUUAAGCAAGUAACAAAAUUAAGGCCAGGAAUCUAGUUUAUUUAACCUGUAAUAAUCUGAUGUUGGCCAUAACUAGAUCUCUGUGGUCCCUUUUUAAUUGCUGCAAGGAAAUCCACAGGAUUUGUUAUUUAGUACAGAGUGGUCUGAAAAGUUACCAAGCUGUACAGCAUGUAUUAAUCAUGGGGUAAAUUUUAUCUAUAUCCUGACAAUUUACCCAGAGCAUGUUGUUUGAAAAGAACUAGAAAUGUUCUUCAGCAUAGUAUGAUUGAGGGUAUUCUGUGGCCAGGCCUUACUGCUGGAGUACAGAGCACAACUUUGACGUAUUUUUCACAUCAAAUUGAUAGAUUUCCUAUCGUAAAGACAUUUCUGAAGUAUAGAGCAUGGACCUCACUCCUGAAUGGCUGUUCCUUUGUUGCAGUGCUCUCUGCUCUUUGAAACAUCCUCCUAGAAAAAAAAAAAAAAAAAGCAAAAAAAAAAGCAAUCUCCAGACUUAAUUCACUGCUACAUAAUAGAAGGUGUUGUCAGCAAGUGGCACUUGCAAAAGCAGCCUUCCAGCUGGGUGGAUGUCAGACUGGAAGUCCAGUGAUUUCCAGUCCCUUUGGUCCCAGGCUGCCCAGAGAGCCCCUACAGAGCUUCCAUACAGAGGUGAAAAUAUUCUGCUUUUUGAAUCAGCCCUACUUGCAUUUUUACAAUGAAUUAAGCAGAUCUACACUGAUGUAUGAACUGUACUCUGUGUUUGUGUGUGAACAGAGAUUGGCCAGAAAAUCUUAGAAUCAUUAAUUAAAUCAAUAUAUAUCACCUGCAGAAAUAUGUGCACUGAGCAGUGUUUGUAGAUGAGCAGUACAUGUAAAGAUCCAUACAUGCUGUGCAGAUGUACUUUUGGCAAAGAUGACAGACAAUGAUACUUCCUGAGAAGACUUUCAAGGUUUCAAUCUUUUCAAGCUUUUUGUUUACUCAAUUAAUAUUGGCUGUAUUUAAUGCACCAAGAAAAAGCAUUCCAAUUGCUCUGAAGCACUCUGUUGCAAAGAAAAAAAAAAUCAGCAAAACCAGUUCAGUAAUUGUUUGGUAGGAUUUUUUUUCCAGUUUUUCUUGUACAUUUUGUACUUCAUAGACUUUUAAAUGAGAUUAACCUUUAAUGCCUAGAAAACAGGUAGUGACAUCUGUCUGAGAAAGAGACUUACAAAUACACAAGUGUUUGUAUUUCUAAAGAUGACAAUGAAGGCAGCAAGUAAAUUGUGUUAGUGCAUAUUUAACACUCUCUAGUUCUGCUAUUUGAUUUAGAAAAAAGUUAUGAAAGACUAUGAAGUGCUAACGAGGACAGCCCUCACCAAGCCCAAACUCUUAAGAAAUAGCAGCAGUCCUGCAGCAUUGCAUUUGUCUCUCAGUGCCAGGGCUCUAUAUUUAACAAGCUUUCCCCAGCUCCCACACCCAGAUGAAUUCAUUGGAAUGCAGUAGGAAAGCAAGAGCUCAUCUGACUCAUUAGGAAGCUCAUAUGCAAUUACCAUCAAUUAAAAAUUCCUUCUAGAGCCACCGUGUGAAUUUGGGUAUGCUGAAAGAAAUGAAAUAAUCAGGAUCUCUGUAAGCAGGACUUAGCUUUGCAUAGAGCUCAGGACAAACUCAGAGUUGAUUAAUCUGCAAAAAUAAUUAGCUGAUGUGCCGAGUAACGUGUGGGAUCCUCAGAGAACUUGUGUUGGAUGGAGUUUUACAUCUUCCACUUCACCGUCUGUGGCUUGCAAGCAACAGAGCCAAAGAAAAGCUUCUCUAUAUUGGGAAUGUAUUGGAAAAAAAAAACAACCAAACUGUUGUAACAACAUGUUUUGUUGAUAUGAAAUUAUUUUCUCUUUCUUUUCACCAGCCGCUAGCAAGGAAAAAAGUUUAGAGGUGGAAAUGUAAUGACAAAUGAUUUACAGAUGGAUUCCAUUUUCACUAUAUUCCUAUUAAGAUGGGUUGUAAACACUUUCCUUUCUUAGCCCAAGAUCUUUCUCAGAAUCUGUUCUGUUUAGGUUUAACUUGUUAGAUUUGGAAUAAGCUCUUCAAACGACUGAGCAGCUCUUGAGCCAACCCAACAGAAUCGAGGUGCCUCUGUCAUAAAUUUUCAUUGAAAAAUUUUAUUUUAACUUGAACCUUACCUGUGCAUCUGAUGUUUUAACACUAUUGAACGUUUACAUUCUGUUAAUUAAGCCUUUUAUAAAAACUUUUGAAAAAAUACAACAGAGCAAUUAAAAGUAUAUGUACAUAUAAUUUCACAGGCAUUUUAGAAGUCUAUACAAUAAAACAAGCAUGUGCUUAUGCCAUACUUAUUUGUAUUCGCUAUUUAUAAGAAGCAGAAAAUUCUACUUUUAUCUGUAAAGCAGAGCAAUACCUGGAUAUCUAGGAUUUUUGUAUUGUUUCCUUCUGAAAAAUAAAAAUGGUGAAACACC